rnacentral:rRNA from 1 species
UACGUAGGGGGCAAGCGUUGUCCGGAUUUAUUGGGCGUAAAGAGCGUGUAGGCGGCCAUACAGGUCAGCUGUGAAAACUCGAGGCUCAACCUCGAGACGCCGAUGGAAACCAUUUGGCUAGAGUCCGGAAGAGGAGAGUGGAAUUCCUGGUGUAGCGGUGAAAUGCGCAGAUAUCAGGAAGAACACCCGUGGCUAAGGCGGCUCUCUAGUACGGUACUGACGCUGAGACGCGAAAGCGUGGGGAGCGAACAGG